GACAGAGGUUGCAAACGUUGUUCGGAAUUACUGGGCAUAAAGCGCGUGUAGGCGGUUCGGUAAGUCCGCUGUGAAAGUCGGGGGCUCAACCCUCGGAUGCCGGUGGAUACUGUCGAGCUUGAGUACGGAAGAGGAGAGUGGAAUUCCUGGUGUAGCGGUGAAAUGCGCAGAUAUCAGGAAGAACACCCGUGGCGAAGGCGGCUCUCUGGGACGGUACUGACGCUGAGGAGCGAAAGCGUGGGGAGCGAACAGG
rnacentral:rRNA from 1 species